UAGGCCGCCAUUUCUCAGUCACUAACCGCCGCCCUAGCGCCGCCGCCUCAGCCCAACGUCGCCCAAAAUGGUAAAUGCAAAUCAAUCAGUUUCUUCAUAUCUCUCUCUAUUUUUAUUCUUUAUGAUUCUUCUCCCACGAUUUUAAGGAAAAUUUCCCAAUAUCUGAAACCCUUUUUGUCAACUCUAUUCUCUUUUCCAGAUUCCAUAACCGCUGCUCGUCGUUCCAUCGCUCACCAAACUCAAUCAAAGACUCGGCCGCCAUUUCUCGGUCCUCAACUGCCGCCGUAGCGCGGUCGCCUCAAACCAACAUCACCCGAAACGGUAAAAACAAAAGUAAUCAGUUUCUUCCUCUCUCUCUGUUUCUAUUCUAUCAAUCAAUACGUUGAGGGCCAUUGUAUCGAAAAUUUUAAAGCAAUGUUUCUAAAAGUGCUGGUACUAAUUUCAAUUUCAAUUUUGUAUGGGUUAAUUAAAAUUGGAAUUGAAAUUUUGGAAUUGGGUUUUUGAAACCAAGAUUGGAUUUUGGUUUGAAAACAACGGUGGAACAUGGUGGUUCAAUGUUUAUCAUCUUAAAAUACUGCAACGUAGAACUCUUGGGCCAAUGCAGCCCUCCACGUGCGGCGGAUUCGCCGUUUGGAAGGGUGCCGCAUUUUGGUGUAUUUCUAUGCACCAGCGGCAGCUAUGGUUCGAGGGUUAUAUUAUCUCUUUUAUUUCAGUGCUCUUUUUAGAAGUGUUUCACUCUUUACACUGAAUUGUUGGACUUAUGUUUUAAUGAUUUUUUAGAGCAUAAAGUUGAAAAAUUGUGCUUUAUGUGUGUAUUCUACUCCUUGAAAUGAUUGAGGAAGUGUCCAUAUGUCCCUCUAAUGAUUGAUUCUUAUGUGCUUAUAGUUUGUAAUUAUUGGCAAUAAAAUUCAGCAAUUUGAAUAUAAGCAGUUUUAAUAUUAUUUGAUGUGUGGUUUUCACUCUAUUGAUCUCAAUAUUAUCUGAGUGACUGUUGAGUUAUCGUCAUCUAGCAUUCAUGUUCUCUGAGUGAUUUUUUAGUAUACUCCAAAUAUUUUUUAUUUAUAUUCUCUUUGAUGAAAUCUUUAUGCAAUUAUCCAAAUCAUUUUGAUUUAUGUCUUUUUUUGCUUAAUUUUCUUAUAGUUAUUGCAUUUGCUUCAGAUGUGCUUGAAUGAGUAUGUUCAUGGGUUGUCAUUAGAGUCAUUGAGAUUCUGAGAAUCACUGUCUGGAAAGGUAGUUAUCAAUUUACUUUGUCGUCUUCUUUUUACGGGUUGUCAUCAGAGGCCUUGAGUUCUUUUCUCAUACAUUUAUGUUGUUGUUUUAUUCAACUAGAAAUUGCCUAAUUCUUGAUGAGGCUCCAUUUGGAUCCAUAUAAUAUUGGAUGGAAGGUAGAUUUAUGUUUAAUUGUGGAUUUCUUUGAUUAUCAAUAAGCUUCUUCACAUGUUUCCUUUGCAACUUGAGAAGAGGGCUUAUUUUGUAAAGUUAAUUACUUUGAAUUGGAAUUGUGAAUUUAACAGGAUGUUGUUUCUUUCUAAUCUUAUUGCAACCUUAUUCAAUUACUAGAAAUGAAAGAAUGUCAUAAUAGAGCUAAAAAAUUGAUUUGAGUCAUAAGUAUUUUUGCUCUUUACUGUAUUGAAUAAACUCUUUUUCAAUAGUUUCCAAUUUACACAUUUUCAGUGUUAAAGAAUCAAUCUAUUGUUGCCCAUUGCUGCAUAUAUAGCCACUCUCAUUUAUUUCCUACUUUUCUCACAUACUAACACACACGAAAAACAUGAUCUAUUACACACAUAUAAGCAUAACAAUCAUCAUUUUAGUUGACUAUCUUAGGCUGGACAAAAAGUAGGUACAAGCACAUAUUCUUAUGUCGUUGUGUGUGUGUGUGUUGUCAAGAAGCUUCUGCUAAUUUCGUUUGCCAGUUUUUUUUUCUCAGCUCCCUAUUAGCAGAUCAAAUCUGGUCGAGGUAUUUGGAUAAGAUCAUAUACAAAAGUUGGAAUAAAAUGUGUUUCCCCAUUUCUACAAAGUCUUCAGUUCUGUAUUGUUGUCCUUAAUAUGUAAAUUGGAGACUAGGGAGUAGGGAUGGCAGUGGAUCUUGGACCCGGUCCAAAUCCGUACGGAUCUGUAUCUCAAUUUUUUGGACCCGACGGAUCUGGAUCUCAGUUUUGAAAACGGAUCUGGAUCUGGAUCUUGAAAUUUUAGAUCCGGAUCCGGCCCAGAUCCGACCUGUGGAUCCGUUUUAUUUUAUAUUUUUUUUAUUUAUAUUUAGUUUACUAAUAAUAUUAAUUAAAUUAAAAAUAAUAAAUAAAUUAUAUUCAAAAGAAUAAAAACUAAAAGUAAUUAGAUAAAAGUAUUUUGUGUUAUAUUUUUCAUGAUGGAAAUUAGAUUUUGUUGAUUUUGUGUAAAUUUUUUUAAUUUAAUUUAAAAAUAGUAGAUCCAUGGAUCUGGACCCGUGGACCCGUGGAUCUGACGGAUCUGAAUCUGGAUCCAAAAUUUUCAGAUCCACGGAUCUGGAUCUGAAUUUGAAAACGGAUCUGGAUCUGAUAUUGGCCAGACCCGGUCCAGAUCCCGGCCCGUUGCCAUCCCUACCUAAAAGUGANUAAAAAUACAUUUUUUUCUUAAAAUUCGUAUUUUGCUCCUUAGGUCAUGAAUUAGUGGACGAAGGGAGUAUUAUGAAAUACUAUAGUUUAUAUUAUUAUAUUGUGAAUAAUAAAAAUAGGUAUUGGGCUGGAAGUAUGUUUGGGCUGGGCCGACUGGCCCAGAGGUGUGAUAAAAGGAAAGGAAAUCAUUGAUUUAAGUAUUUUACUAAGAAACAAUAGGUGGGAUGGCCCUAUUGGUGAUUGAAACUUAAAUUUUGUCCACAAAAUUUGAAAUAUCAAUAUUUGGUCAUUUUUUAUGUGCUCUACCUAAUCUACCCUUUAAUCCAACUGAUCCAACAGCUUCCUUUGAUCCGGAUCCAGAUUUAGGGAUUAACCCAUGCAGCAGCACAUACACAUGAUUCUAGCUUUCUAUCUCUCUCUCUCUCUCUAUCUCGCCUGCGACGUGAACUUUCAUCCGGUCAAUUCUCAUCUCCGUCUGUUUCAUAAGUUGCGACGAUGAUGAAUGAAGCCAAUUCUCCUCUCCGCGUGUAUCUCGCUCUCUUGCUGUGAUUUUCCUCUCCGCCUGUAUCUCGCUCUCGCCGGCGCCGACGAAGAGAUUAGAGAGACGAUUAUCCUCUUCUCCUCCUCUAUCUCACCGCGAUCGACGUAUCUGCAACCUCUCUCUGAUUGUCCUCUCCGCCUCUAUCUCUCUCUCGCAGGCGCCGACGAAGAGACUAGGCAGUGGAUCUGAUCUGAUCGUUGCGCCGCCUCCUCCAUCGGCAGAUCUGAUCUCCGCCUCCUUCGAUUUCAGCCAUCGACAGAUCUAAUCUGAUCUGAUCUAAAUUGUGCUGCACAUAUGGCACUUAUGGCACUAUUAGUGCCAUAAGUGCCAUAAGUGCACACUUCCCCCUAGGGUUUAGAUAUUCCAUUUAGGGUUUAGAUUAUUCCAUUUAGGGUUUAGAUGUUCUAUUUAAGGUUUAGAUUAUCCAUUUAGGGUUUAAAUGUUCCAUUUAGGGUUUAGAUGAUGCUAUUGUUUCUGUAUUUGUGCUGCACGUAUGGCGCUAUUAGUGCCAUAAGUGCCAAAAUGAACAUUUUACUUAGUUUUAUUUGGUUUUCCGUUGGCACUUAUGGCACUAAAAAAAAUUAACCAAGUAAAAUGGUCGUUCUGGCACUUAUGGCACCAAUAGUACCAAAAGUGUUAACGGAAAUCCAAAAUAAAACAAAGUAAAAUCUUGGCACUUAUGGCACUAAUAGUGCCAUAAGUGCCUAACCCGACCCGGCACGCGACCCGCGUACCUGAUCCUACCCGGUCCGCCUCAUUAAGGGUAAAAACGUCCAAAUCAAUAAAAAUGGCCAAAUUUUAUGUUUUUUCAAUGAGUGGCAAUAAAUUGUGUUUUAUGCUUCAUUUUGGCUACUUCAAAAUUUUACUCUUUUACUAAUCUAUCUAUAUAUUAUAUAAAACACCAGUUUAACGCUAAAAUUUUAGCGCCAAAUUUUAUCUCUCCCACGUUCUCUCUAAUUAUUACUCAAUUAAUCACGAUUCAAUUCUUCUUCCAAAAAUUCUCAUUAUCUGAAAUCAUUUUCCUCAAUUCUCUUCUCUCUAUAAUCGCUCUUCGCUGCUCCAUCGCUCACCAAACUCAAUCGAACACUAGGCCUCCAUUUCUCAGUCACUAACCGUCGCCCUAGCGCCGCCACCUCAGCCCAACGUCGCCCAAAACGGUAAAUGCAAAAUCAAUCAGUUUCUUCAUAUCUCUCUCUGUUUCUAUUCUUUAUGAUUCUUCUCCUACGAUUUUAAGGAAAAUUUCCCAAUAUCUGAAACCAUUUUGUCAACUCUCUUCUCUUUUCCAGAUUCCAUAACCGCUGCUCGCCGUUCCAUCGCUCACCAAACUCAAUCGAAGACUCGGCCGCCAUUUCUCGGUCCUCAACUGCCGCCGUAGCGCGGUCGCCUCAAACCAACAUCACCCGAAAUGGUAAAAACAAAAGUAAUCAGUUUCUUCCUCUCUCUCUGUUUCUAUUCUAUCAAUCAAUACGUUGAGGGCCAUUGUAAACCCUGAAAAAUUUUAAAGCAGUGUUUCUAAAAGUGCUGGUACUAAUUUCAAUUUCAAAUUUUUAUGGGUUAAUUAAAAUUGGAAUUGAAAUUUUGAAAUUGGAUUUUUGAAACUAAGAUUGGAUUUUGGUUUGAAAACAACAGUGGAACAUGGUGGUUUAAUGUUUUAUCAUCUUAANCUCUCCUCUCCUUUCUCAUCUCCCCCUCCUAUCUCUCCAGCGCGCGGCGGCGGCAGUAUGGUCUGAUGAGGCGGCGGCGGUGGAUCUGAUCUGAUCGUUGCGCCGCCUCCUCCAUCGGCAGAUCUGAUCUCCGCCUCCUUCGAUUUCAGCCAUCGACAGAUCUGAUCUGAUAUGAUCUGUGCUGCACGUUGACAUUAUCCAUUUAGGCCAUAAAUGAACUUCCACAUAGGGUUUAAAUAUGCCAUUUAUGUUUAGUGAUCCACGUAGGCUUUACAUAUUUCAAUAAGGGCCCAAAUGACAUUGUACUUGCUGUAUUUUGAUGCCGUUAGCACUUAUGGCACUAUUAGUGCCAUAAGUGCCAAAAUGACCAUUUUACUUAGUUUUAUUUUAAAUUUCCGUUGGCACUAUUAGUGCCAUAAGUGCCAACGGAAAUCCAAAAUAAAACCAAAGUAAAAUCUUGGCACUUAUGACACUAAUAGUGCCAUAAGUGCCUAACCCGACCCGGCACGCGACCCGCGUGCCUGAUCCUACCCGGUCCGCCUCAUUAAGGGUAAAAACGUCCAAAUCAAUAAAAAUGGCCAAAUUUUGUGUUUUUUCAAUGUGUGGUCAUAAUUUGUAUUUUAUGCUUCAUUUUGGCUACUUCAAAAUUUUACUCUUUUACUAAUCUAUCUAUAUAUUAUAUAAAACACCAGUUUAACGGUAAAUUUUAGCGCCAAAUUUUAUUUCUCACACGUUCUCACUAACUAUUACUCCAUUAAUCGCGAUUCAAUUCUUCUUCCAAAAAUUCUCAUUAUCUGAAAUCAUUUUCCUCAAUUCUCUUCUCUCUAUAAUCGCUCUUCGCUGCUCCAUCGCUCACCAAACUCAAUCGAACACUAGGCCUCCAUUUCUCAGUCACUAACCGUCGCCCUAGCGCCGCCACCUCAGCCCAACGUCGCCCAAAACGGUAAAUAGUCAAAAUCAAUUCAGUUUCUUCAUAUCUCUCUCUGUUUCUAUUCUUUAUGAUUCUUCUCCUACGAUUUUAAGGAAAAUUUCCCAAUAUCUGAAACCAUUUUGUCAACUCUCUUCUCUUUUUCCAGAUUCCAUAACCGCUGCUCGCCGUUCCAUCGCUCACCAAACUCAAUCGAAGACUCGGCCGCCAUUUCUCGGUCCUCAACUGCCGCCGUAGCGCGGUCGCCUCAAACCAACAUCACCCGAAAUGGUAAAAACAAAAGUAAUCAGUUUCUUCCUCUCUCUCUGUUUCUAUUCUAUCAAUCAAUACGUUGAGGGCCAUUGUAUCGAAAAUUUUAAAGCAGUGUUUCUAAAAGUGCUGGUACUAAUUUCAAUUUCAAAUUUUUAUGGGUUAAUUAAAAUUGGAAUUGAAAUUUUGAAAUUGGAUUUUUGAAACUAAGAUUGGAUUUUGGUUUGAAAACAACAGUGGAACAUGGUGGUUUAAUGUUUAUCAUCUUAAAAUACUGCAACGUAGAACUCUUGGGCCAAUGCAGCCCUCCACGUGCGGCGGAUUUGCCGUUUGGAAGGGUGCCGUGUUUUGGUGUAUUUCUAUGCACCAGCGGCAGCUAUGGUUCGAGGGUUAUAUUAUCUCUUUUAUUUCAGUGCUCUUUUUUAGAAGUGUUUCACUCUUUACACUGAAUUGUUGGACUUAUGUUUUAAUGAUUUUUAGAGCAUGAAGUUGAAAAAUUGUGCUUUAUGUGUGUAUUCUACUCCUUGAAAUGAUUGAGGAAGUGUCCAUAUGUCCCUCUAAUGAUUGAUUCUUAUGUGCUUAUAGUUUGUAACUAUUGGCAAUAAAAUUGAGCAAUUUGAAUAUAAGCAGUUUUAAUAUUAUUUGAUGUGUGGUUUUCACUCUAUUGAUAUCAAUAUUAUCUGAGUGACCGUUAAGUUAUCGUGAUCUAGCAUUCAUGUUCUGUGAGUGAUUUUUUAGUAUAGUCCAAAUAUUUUUUUAUUUAUAUUCUCUUUGAUGAAAUCUUUAUGCAAUUAUCCAAAUCAUUUUGAUUUAUGUCUUUUUUUGCUUAAUUUUCUUAUAGUUAUUGCAUUUGCUUCAGAUGUGCUUGAAUGAGUAUGUUCAUGGGUUGUCAUUAGAGGCAUUGAGAUUCUGAGAAUCACUGUCUGGAAAGGUAGUUAUCAAUUUACUUUGUCGUCUUCUUUUUACGGGUUGUCAUCAGAGGCCUUGAGUUCUUUUCUCAUACAUUUAUGUUGUUGUUUUACUCAACUAGAAUUUGCCUACAUCUUGAUGAGGCUCCAUUUGGAUCCAUAUAAUAUUGGAUGGAAGGUAGAUUUAUGUUUAAUUGUGGAUUUCUUUGAUUAUCAAUAAGCUUCUUCACAUGUUUCCUUUGCAACUUGAGAAGAGGGCUUAUUUUGUAAAGUUAAUUACUUUGAAUUGGAAUUGUGAAUUUAACAGGAUGUUGUUUCUUUCUAAUCUUAUUGCAA
rnacentral:lncRNA from 1 species